UACAGAGGUGCUCAAGCGUUGUUCGGAUUCAUUGGGCGUAAAGGGUGCGUAGGUGGCGCCGUAAGUCAGGUGUGAAAUCUCGGGGCUCAACCCCGAAACUGCACUUGAUACUGCGGUGCUCGAGUACUGGAGAGGAGAUUGGAAUUUACGGUGUAGCAGUAGAAAUGCGUAGAUAGUCGUAAGGAAGACCAGUGGCGAAGGCGAAUCUCUGGACAGUUAC
rnacentral:rRNA from 1 species